GACUGGUUAUAGUGGUUCAGUUACAGCGGAAGUAUGCAACCACUCUAUUAGCAAAGAGUUGCUUCAGGAUAGAUGGGGUUGGACCCAAUAACUGUUAGAUGAGAGAUCCAAUGACGGCCUUGCAUCUGCUUGUGAAUGAUAGGUUGGGCUUAGCUAAAGAGUUAUCUACACAUCGGUGUGUAUGUUAUCAAUAACUAUUAGGUGAUGUACAUGGCAUUGGUGGGACCGCAAUACCCACUAAGAAUCUAUUUAUCGUGUUAGGAUUUUUGUUUCCCAUCCAA
rnacentral:lncRNA from 1 species